rnacentral:rRNA from 1 species
AUUGAACGCUGGCGGCAGGCCUAACACAUGCAAGUCGAGCGGAUGAAGGGAGCUUGCUCCUGGAUUCAGCGGCGGACGGGUGAGUAAUGCCUAGGAAUCUGCCUGGUAGUGGGGGAUAACGUCCGGAAACGGGCGCUAAUACCGCAUACGUCCUGAGGGAGAAAGUGGGGGAUCUUCGGACCUCACGCUAUCAGAUGAGCCUAGGUCGGAUUAGCUAGUUGGUGGGGUAAAGGCCUACCAAGGCGACGAUCCGUAACUGGUCUGAGAGGAUGAUCAGUCACACUGGAACUGAGACACGGUCCCGACUCCUACGGGAGGCAGCAGUGGGGAAUAUUGGACAAUGGGCGAAAGCCUGAUCCAGCCAAGCCGCGUGUGUGAAGAAGGUCUUCGGAUUGUAAAGCACUUUAAGUUGGGAGGAAGGGCAGUAAGUUAAUACCUUGCUGUUUUGACGUUACCAACAGAAUAAGCACCGGCUAACUUCGUG